rnacentral:rRNA from 1 species
CCUACGGGGGGCUGCAGCUAAGAAUAUUCCGCAAUGGACGAAAGUCUGACGGAGCGACGCCGCGUGGAUGAUGAAGGCCGUGAGGUUGUAAAAUCCUUUUGUCGGGGAAGAAUAAGCGUGGGAGGGAAUGCCCGCGCGAUGACAUGAACCGGCGAAUAAGCCCCGGCUAACUACGUGCCAGCAGCCGCGGUAACACGUAGGGGGCGAGCGUUGUGCGGAAUUACUGGGCGUGAAGCGCAUAUAGGCGGGUGAAAGGCUAUGGCUCAACCAUGGCACUGCGUUGGGAACUGCGGGACUUGAGUCACGGAGAGGGAGCUGGAAUUCCAGGUGUAGGGGUGAAAUCUGUAGAUAUCUGGAAGAACACCAGUGGCGAAGGCGAGCUCCUGGCCGAUGACUGACGCUGAGGUGCGAAAGUGUGGGGAUCAAACAGGAUUAGAUACCCCGGUAGUC